AAUCUAAGGUGGCACAAAAGACCCGACCAACAAGAUGUCCUGUUGGUCGGGUCUUUUGUGAUGCGGGCAAGAAGAC
rnacentral:sRNA from 1 species